rnacentral:SRP_RNA from 1 species
GCUGGGCUCGGCGGCACGCACCUGCAGUGCCAGCUACUUGGGAGGCUGAGGCAGGAAAAUGGCUUGAGCUCAGGAGUUCUGAGCUGUACUACACUAUGGAGAUCGGGUGUUUGCAGUAAGUUCGGCAUCAAUAUGGUGACCUCCCCGAGGCAGGGAACCACCAGGCUGCUUAAGGAGGGGUGAUCUAGCCCAGGUCAGAAAUGGAGGUCAAAACUGCCAUGCUGAUAAAAGAAUUCUUUAUCCUGUUCAGCCUGUGGAGAUAAACUACCUCCUGCUA